rnacentral:rRNA from 1 species
GACGAACGCUGGCGGCGUGCUUAACACAUGCAAGUCGAACGGAAAGGCCCCUUUGGGGGUACUCGAGUGGCGAACGGGUGAGUAACACGUGAGUAACCUGCCCUUGACUUCGGGAUAACUUCAGGAAACUGGGGCUAAUACCGGAUAGGAAUCCUUGCUGCAUGGUGGGGGUUGGAAAGCUUCGGCGGUUUUGGAUGGACUCGCGGCUUAUCAGCUUGUUGGUGGGGUAGUGGCUUACCAAGGCUUUGACGGUUAGCCGGCCUGAGAGGGCGACCGGCCACAUUGGGAAUGAGAUACGGCCCAGACUCCUACGGGAGGCAGCAGUGGGGAAUAUUGCACAAUGGGCGGAAGCCUGAUGCAGCAACGCCGCGUGCGGGAUGACGGCCUUCGGGUUGUAAACCGCGUUCAGCAGGGGCGAAGCUUGUGGUGACGGUACCUGCAGAAGAAGCACCGGCUAACUACGUG